rnacentral:rRNA from 1 species
AACGAACGCUGGCGGCGCGCCUCAGACAUGCAAGUCGAACGAGAAGCACUCUUCGGAGUGUGGACAGUGGCAAACGGGUGCGUAACACGUGGGAAUCUACCCUGAAGCUCAGAACAACAUCGGGAAACCGGUGCUAAUACUGAAUAAUGACUCCGGUCCAAAGAUUUAUCACUUCAGGAGGAGCCCGCGCUAGAUUAGCUUGUUGGUAAGGUAACGGCUUACCAAGGCGACGAUCUAUAGCUGGUCUUAGAGGAUGAUCAGCCACACUGGGACUGAGACACGGCCCAGACUCCUACGGGAGGCAGCAGUCGGGAAUAUUGGACAAUGGGCGAAAGCCUGAUCCAGCGACGCCGCGUGUGUGAUGAAGGCCUUCGGGUUGUAAAGCACUUUUGGCAGGGAAGAUUAUGACGGUACCUGCAGAAUAAGCCCCGGCUAACUUCG